rnacentral:rRNA from 1 species
AUGGCGAGUGGCGAACGGGUGAGUAAUGCAUCGGAACGUGCCCAGUCGUGGGGGAUAACGCAGCGAAAGCUGUGCUAAUACCGCAUACGAUCUAUGGAUGAAAGCGGGGGACCGUAAGGCCUCGCGCGAUUGGAGCGGCCGAUAUCAGAUUAGGUAGUUGGUGGGGUAAAAGCCUACCAAGGCUACGAUCAGUAGCUGGUCUGAGAGGACGACCAGCCACACUGGGACUGAGACACGGCCCAGACUCC